UGUUUUCUGCUGUUUGUCCCAUGUCCUGUUGCUCAGUGGUAGAUUUGUUGGUGUUCGGUGCUAGCAGGAAUGUCCCAGAGCAUUUUGGUUUCAGCUGUCACAAUGCUUUGAUCCCCUGCUGCUGGGCUGGGGCGUUUGAGGAAUGAUGCGUGUGCUGAUGUCCAUCCAGGCUUUGGGGAUGAGUCUGCGUAGCAGGGAGGGCAGGUGGUGAAGCUCAUGAAGCAAUGCCUGCAGAUGGGGUUUGCAGAGCAAGAGGUCCGUCCUGCAGGCCUUGUGUGACACGCAUGGAGCUGUAGCGAGGCUGCAUCAGUGUAAAACAGCAGAAAUGCACGGAGGUGUGAAGUGAUAACCAUGGAAGCAUGGAAGCAUGGAAGCGUUACCCAGACAGACUGAGCAUUUGUCACCUGGGCAUUCUACAGAUGACAUAGGUAGUGGAAGUCAGCAUUGGAAGCAUGCGUGAGACCCCUGCAAAAGAAUGAUGAGAGUUACCCUGGCGGCCUCCUUUGGCAAUCUCAGGUCUCUGUAAGCUCUUAAGCUGUGUCGUAAGUCCUCCCAUGGUGCUGACUCAGCUCUCCCUGUCUUUGGUGUAGGAGAGCUGGUCUUCAGC